rnacentral:lncRNA from 1 species
AUGCAGCCCUCUGAACACACCACCUUCAUGAUCCUCCUCCUCCUCUACUCCUCCUCCUCUACUCCUCCUCUACUCCUCCUCCUCUACUCCUCCUCUACUCCUCCUCCUCUACUCCUCCUCUACUCCUCCUCCUCCUCCUCUACUCCUCCUCUCCUCCUCCUCUACUCCUCCUCUACUCCUCCUCCUCCUCUACUCCUCCUCCUCCUCUACUCCUCCUCCUCUACUCCUCCUCCUCUACUCCUCCUCUACUCCUCCUCUACUCCUCCCCUACUCCUCCCCUACUCCUCCCCACACCGGCCCUCCUCCUCCCCUACUCCUCCUCCCCUACUCCUCCCCACACCGGCCCUCCUGCUCCCUCCUCCUCCUCUACUCCUCCUCUACUCCUCCUCUACUCCUCCCCUACUCCUCCCCACACCGGCCCUCCUCCUCCACUACUCCUCCUCUACUCCUCCCCUACUCCUCCCCACACCGGCCCUCCUGCUCCCUCCUCCUCCUCUACUCCUCCUCUACUCCUCCCCACACCGGCCCUCCUGCUCCCUCCUCCUCCUCUACUCCUCCUCUACUCCUCCUCUACUCCUCCCCUACUCCUCCCCACACCGGCCCUCCUCCUCCACUACUCCUCCUCUACUCCUCCCCUACUCCUCCCCACACCGGCCCUCCUCCUCCUCUACUCCUCCCCUACUCCUCCCCACACCGGCCCUCCUCCUCCACUACUCCUCCUCUACUCCUCCCCUACUCCUCCCCACACCGGCCCUCCUGCUCCCUCCUCCUCCCCUCGAUGCGUCUCAGUUUGCUCUGCAGCCUGCGUCCGUGUCUCCCUCUCAUCAGCCUCAGCAGGGUCUUCCUCAGCGCCGGGGGCGGGGCCUCCAGCGCCCAGCGGGUCAGGAGGAGGCGGAGCUCCCCCGGCUCCUCCCCCCCGGGGAGCGGGGCGGCCAGGAGCAGCCUGAGCCUGGACACCGGGAUGUUCUGGUGGAGCAGGAACCCCGGGAGGAGGUCCCUCAGAUAGUCCACAGACUCUGCAACAACAACACCCUUACUAUGUGUGUCACGUAA